AUUGAACGCUGGCGGCAUGCCUUACACAUGCAAGUCGAACGGCAGCACGGGAGCAAUCCUGGUGGCGAGUGGCGAACGGGUGAGUAAAGUAUCGGAACGUGCCCAGUCGUGGGGGAUAACGUAGCGAAAGUUACGCUAAUACCGCAUACGAUCUAUGGAUGAAAGCGGGGGAUCGCAAGACCUCGCGCGAUUGGAGCGGCCGAUAUCAGGUUAGGUAGUCGGUGGGGUAAAGGCCCACCAAGCCGACGAUCUGUAGCUGGUAUGAGAGGACGACCAGCCACACUGGGGCUGAGACACGGCCCAGACUCCUACGGGAGGCAGCAGUGGGGAAUUUUGGACAAUGGGGGCAACCCUGAUCCAGCCAUUCCGCGUGAGUGAAGAAGGCCUUCGGGUUGUAAAGCUCUUUCGGCAGGAACGAAACGGCGAGCUCUAACAUAGCUUGCUAAUGACGGUACCUGAAGAAGAAGCACCGGCUAACUACGUGCCAGCAGCCGCCGUAAAAC
rnacentral:rRNA from 1 species